rnacentral:misc_RNA from 1 species
UAAGCGUUUGGAGAAUCUAGUUAGAGGAAUAUUUGCUGGGAACAUUUUUGAUCUCGGUUCAGCUCAGCUAGCUGAAGUUUUCUCAAGAGAUGGUAUGUCUUUCUUAGCGAGUUGUCAAAAUCUUGUUCCUCGUCCUUGGGUGAUUGAUGAUUUGGACACAUUCAAACUCAAAUGGAGUAAAAAGUCAUGGAAGAAGGCUAUAAUAUUUGUUGAUAACUCCG